rnacentral:piRNA from 1 species
ACACAAGGAGAGAACUGACAAUCGU